rnacentral:rRNA from 1 species
AUGUCGCUGUGCCGCUUCAAGUGCGUGUCCAAAGGGUGGCUCGCCCUCUGCUCCAACCCCGACAUCCGCAAGAGGUCGCCGCAGACUUUGUCUGGCUUCUUCUACUUUGAUCACGGUUGGAACAAAUCACGCCCUGGUUGGCGUUUCCUGAAUUUGUCUCGGAAAGAACUGCCCGGCCACCUUUCGUGUUCCAGCCAAGGCAAGUACAUUUUGGGUUUUGACCCGGCCACCCCAUCCCGCUUCAUUGUGUUUGCGCGCCUGAACACUAAUUAUGGCAUGUCCAUGGAAAUGAUCUACUCAUCGGAAACUGGAGGAUGGAAUUCCAUGCAGAAAUGGACAACAGAAUCUCGAAAACUGGAGGAUGGACUUCCAUGCAGAAACCUCGGCGGCCACGGCAGCGGCAGCAUCCUCGGUGAGGAGGUCCGCCGCUUCGCGCCCCGGUACACGCCCGUGGACGCUGCGCUCAUCCCGAUAGGCCGCCUGGCACCCGUGGCCGGCACGCCCUACGACUUCCGCAUGCCGGCCGCCGUGGGCUCGCGCAUCGGCGGCCUCCUGAGCCGGGGCAUCAAUGGGUAUGACAUCAACUACGUCAUGGACGGCGGGGUCCGGGAUGGCGCGUCCGGCAGGGCGAUGGAGCUGUGGGCGGACCAGCCCGGGGUGCAGUUCUACACCGCCAACAGGCUGAGCGGGGUGAGGGGGAAGGGCGGCAAGGUCUAUGGCCGCUACGGCGCGCUCUACGUGGAGACGCAGGGGUUCCCCGACGCCGUGAACCGCCCGAGCUUCCCGUCGCAGAUCGUCCGGCCGGGAAAGGUGUACAGGCAUGACAUGGUGUUAAAGUUCUUGUAG